UCGUCACACUAUCAUUAACUGAAUCCAUAGGUUAAUGAGGCGAACCGGGGGAACUGAAACAUCUAAGUACCCCGAGGAAAAGAAAUCAACCGAGAUUCCCCCAGUAGCGGCGAGCGAACGGGGAGGAGCCCAGAGCCUGAAUCAGCAUGUGUGUUAGUGGAAGCGUCUGGAAAGGCGCGCGAUACAGGGUGACAGCCCCGUACACAAAAGCGCAUGUGCUGUGAGCUCGAUGAGUAGGGCGGGACACGUGGUAUCCUGUCUGAAUAUGGGGGGACCAUCCUCCAAGGCUAAAUACUCCUGACUGACCGAUAGUGAACCAGUACCGUGAGGGAAAGGCGAAAAGAACCCCGGCGAGGGGAGUGAAACAGAACCUGAAACCGUGUACGUACAAGCAGUGGGAGCACAGGUUUACCUGUGUGACUGCGUACCUUUUGUAUAAUGGGUCAGCGACUUAUAUUCUGUAGCAAGGUUAACCGUAUAGGGGAGCCGAAGGGAAACCGAGUCUUAAUUGGGCGUUAAGUUGCAGGGUAUAGACCCGAAACCCGGUGAUCUAGCCAUGGGCAGGUUGAAGGUUGGGUAACACUAACUGGAGGACCGAACCGACUAAUGUUGAAAAAUUAGCGGAUGACCUGUGGCUGGGGGUGAAAGGCCAAUCAAACCGGGAGAUAGCUGGUUCUCCCCGAAAGCUAUUUAGGUAGCGCCUCGUGAACUCAUCUCCGGGGGUAGAGCACUGUUUCGGCUAGGGGGCCAUCCCGGCUUACCAACCCGAUGCAAACUGCGAAUACCGGAGAAUGUUAUCACGGGAGACACACGGCGGGUGCUAACGUCCGUCGUGAAGAGGGAAACAACCCAGACCGCCAGCUAAGGUCCCAAAGUCAUGGUUAAGUGGGAAACGAUGUGGGAAGGCCCAGACAGCCAGGAUGUUGGCUUAGAAGCAGCCAUCAUUUAAAGAAAGCGUAAUAGCUCACUGGUCGAGUCGGCCUGCGCGGAAGAUGUAACGGGGCUAAACCAUGCACCGAAGCUGCGGCAGCGAACGUAUCACUUAAAACGAUUCAGAAGCUUACGAUUGACGGAGCGAAGCGACGUCAAAGCGUAUACAAAGUCGAGUCGGUUUAGGGAUACGUUCGUUGGGUA
rnacentral:rRNA from 1 species